rnacentral:rRNA from 1 species
CCUACGGGUGGCAGCAGUGAGGAAUAUUGGUCAAUGGGCGCGAGCCUGAACCAGCUAAGUAGCGUGAAGGAUGACUGCCCUACGGGUUGUAAACUUCUUUUAUAAAGGAAUAAAGUGAGGCACGAGUGCCUUUUGUAUGUACUUUAUGAAUAAGGAUCGGCUAACUCCGUGCCAGCAGCCGCGGUAAGACGGAUGAUCCGAGCGUUAUCCGGAUUUAUUGGGUUUAAAGGGAGCGUAGAUGGGUUGUUAAGUCAGUUGUGAAAGUUUGCGGCUCAACCGUAAAAUUGCAAUUGAUACUGGCAGACUUGAGUGCAGUUGAGGGAGGCGGAAUUCGAGGUGUAGCAGUGAAAUGCGUAGAUAUCACGAAGAACACCGAUUGCGAAGGCAGCCUACUAAGAUGCCACUGACAUUGAUACUCGAAAGUGUGGGUAGCAAACAGGAUUAAAUACCCCGGUAGUC